rnacentral:rRNA from 1 species
GACGAACGCUGGCGGCGCGCUUAACACAUGCAAGUCGAGCGAAGCGGCGGACGGGUGAGUAACACGUGAGUAACCUGCCUUAGACAUUGGGAUAGCCUCGGGAAACCGGGAUUAAUACCAAAUGGUCUAAGAUGGACUCGCGUCCCAUUAGCUAGUUGGUGGGUAACGGCCCACCAAGGCGAAGAUGGGUAGCCGGCAGGAGAGGAUGAACGGCAACAUUGGAACUGAUAAAGGGUCCAAACUCGACGGUAGGCAGCAGUGGGGAAGAUUGAACAAUGGAGGGAACACGGGUGCAGCUACGCCGCGUGAACGAAGAAGGCUUUCGAGUCGUAAAGUUCUUUUAUAUGGGAAGCGGUACCAUAAGAAAAAGCCCCGGCUAACUACGUGCCAGCAGCCGCGGUAAUUC